AGGCAGCCUAGCGGUUAGAGGAGACAGGUAGCCUAGCGGUUAGAGGAGACAGGUAGCCUAGCGGUUAGAGGAGACAGGUAGCCUAGCGGUUAGAGGAGGCAGGUAGUCUAGCGGUUAGAGCGUUGGACCAGUAACCGAAAGGUUUGCUGGAUCGAAUCCCCCGAGCUGACAAGGUAACUAUCUUUCUGUCGUUCCGCCCCCUGAACAAGACAGUUAACCCACUGUCCCCCGAACAAGACAGUUAACCCACUUUUCCCCUGAACAAGGCAGUUAACCCACUGUUCCCCGGAACAAGGCGGUUAACCUACUGUUCCCCUGAACAAGGCGGUUAACCCACUGUUCCCUGAACAAGACAGUUAACCCACUGUUCCCCUGAACAAGACAGUUAACCCACUGUUCCCAUGAACAAGGCAGUUAACCCACUGUUCCCCUGAACAAGGCAGUCGUUCCGCCCCUGAACAAGACAGUUAACCCACUGUUCCCCUGAACAAGGCAGUUAACCCACUGUUCCCCUAAACAAGGCAGUUAACCCACUGUUCCCCUGAACAAGGCAGUUAACCCACUGUUCCCCUGAACAAGGCAGUUAACCCACUGUUCCCCUGAACAAGGCAGUUAACCCACUGUUCCCCUGAACAAGGCAGUUAACCCACUGUUCCCCUGAACAAGGCAGUUAACCCACUGUUCCCCGGUUGGGACGUCAUUGUGAAUAAGAAUUUGUUCUUAACUGACUAGCCGAGUUAAAUAAAGAAUAUUUUUAAUAAUUAUCCCAUGCUGUGAGAGCGAAGAAUCCCCUGGUAGUAAGCCUAAUUCCUAGUAUUACUCCAUGCCAAGAGCUCAUAGACAUUGGCUGUCAAAAUCGUUUGUCUGUGUCGGCUGGCCUGGCAUGUUGGCUGGCCUGGCAUGUUGGCUGGCCUGGCAUGUUGGCUGGCCUGGUGUGCCUUCCUGCCUGCCUUCCUCUUAAUCCUAUUUUCAACAGGACUGAUCUUCUAAAGGCAGAUUUACUAUAACAGGGGUGUGGAUGCCUUAUUUACUAUAACAGGGGUGUGGAUGCCUUAUUUACUAUAACAGGAGUGUGGAUGCCUUAUUUACUAUAACAGGAGAGAUAGAUGCCUGAUUUACUAUAACAGGAGAGAUAGAUGCCUGAUUUACUAUAACAGGGGUGCUGGAUGCCCGAUUUACUACAACAGGACAGAUAGAUGCCUGAUUUACUAUAACAGGAGAGAUAGAUGCCUGAUUUACUAUAACAGGGGUGCUGGAUGCCUUAUUUACUAUAACAGGAGUGUGGAUGCCUUAUUUACUAUAACAGGGGUGUGGAUGCCUUAUUUACUAUAACAGGGGUGUGGAUGCCUUAUUUACUAUAACAGGGGUGUGGAUGCCUUAUUUACUAUAACAGGGGUGUGGAUGCCUUAUUUACUAUAACAGGGGUGUGGAUGCCUUAUUUACUAUAACAGGGGUGUGGAUGCCUUAUUUACUGUAACAGGGGUGCUGGAUGCCCGAUUUACUACAACAGGAGAGAUAGAUGCCUGAUUUACUAUACCAGGAGAGAUAGAUGCCUGAUUUACUAUAACAGGAGAGAUAGAUGCCUGAUUUACUAUAACAGGGGUGCUGGAUGCCUGAUUUAUUAUAACAGGAGAGAUAGAUGCCUGAUUUACUAUAACAGGAGAGAUAGAUGCCUGAUUUACUAUAACAGGGGUGCUGGAUGCCUGAUUUAUUAUAACAGGAGAGAUAGAUGCCUGAUUUACUAUAACAGGAGAGAUAGAUGCCUGAUUUACUAUAACAGGAGAGAUAGAUGCCUGAUUUACUAUAACAGGGGUGCUGGAUGCCUGAUUUACUAUAACAGGAGAGAUAGAUGCCUGAUUUGCUAUAACAGGAGAGAUAGAUGCCUGAUUUACUAUAACAGGAGAGAUAGAUGCCUGAUUUACUAUAACAGGAGAGAUAGAUGGAGUUAAACACUAUUAUUGAGUCCAUGCAACUUAUUAUGUGACUUGUUAGGCACAUUUUUACUCCCGAACUUAUUAAUUGUAUUAUUUGUAUUAAUGACCUGAGACCAGUACUAAUAUACACCUGACCUAAUAGGAGUCCAAUAGCAG
ensembl:lncRNA